GCCGCUGUAGCUCAGUUGGGAGAGCGCGGGACUGAAGAUCCUGAGGUCGCCGGUUCGAUCCCGGCCGGCGGCACCA
rnacentral:tRNA from 1 species